UGGAUGAAGCUUCUCGGUUGUUUAAUGAGAUGAUUGACAGCAACCUAGUACCAAAUGAAGCAACUUAUAAUGUUAUGAUAGAAGGGUAUUUCCUGGUAGGCAAUAUAAGAAAGGUAUUCCAGUUAUAUGACCAAAUGAUAGAUAGGGGCCUCACACCUGACAAUGACACAUAUAGACCAUUGAUAAGUGGAUUAUGGUUGACCAGUCAUGCGUUGAAAGCAAAGGAAUUUGUUGCUAACUUAGAAAACGAGUGCUCUCUAAACAAAUUUAGCCUAACCACACUUAUGCAUGGAUUUUGCAGAGAAGGAAGGUUGACCGAAGCAUACCAUGUCUGGAGUGAGAUGGCAAUGCAGGGAAUCAAUCUUGAUCUUGUUAGCUCUACCAUUAUUGUGUAUACAACCUUGAAACUGCAUGAUACGGAAAAAUCAUGCGUGUUAUUGAGGGAGAUGACAGAAAAAAGUGUCAGGCUAGAAAAUGUGUUCCAUACAUGCAUGAUUGACGUGCACUCAAAAGAAGGAAAUAUGGUCCAAGCUUUAAACUCUUGGGAUAACAUGAUUGUUGAUGGCUGCUUUCCAAAUACCGGCACAUGUACAGUUUUAGUUAACAAUCUCUGCAAGUCAGGGCAUUUGAGCAGUGUAGAGCUCCUUUGCAAAGAAAUGUUAUCCAGUCACUUCCUUCCAAACAAUUAUACUUAUAAUUGUUUUCUUGAUUAUUUUACCACUGAAGGCAAACUGGAUAAAGCUAAAGAUAUCUCUAUUUCACCAUGCUUCGAGGCUCUCUUGCUAACAUAG
rnacentral:rRNA from 1 species